UGGGGAAUAUUGGACAAUGGGGGCAACCCUGAUCCAGCCAUGCCGCGUGUGUGAAGAAGGCCUUUUGGUUGUAAAGCACUUUAAGCAGGGAGGAGAGGCUAAAUGGGUUAAUACCCAUUAGAUUUAGACGUUACCUGCAGAAUAAGCACCGGCUAACUCUGUGCCAGCAGCCGCGGUAAUACAGAGGGUGCGAGCGUUAAUCGGAAUUACUGGGCGUAAAGCGAGUGUAGGUGGCUCAUUAAGUCACAUGUGAAAUCCCCGGGCUUAACCUGGGAACUGCAUGUGAUACUGGUGGUGCUAGAAUAUGUGAGAGGGAAGUAGAAUUCCAGGUGUAGCGGUGAAAUGCGUAGAGAUCUGGAGGAAUACCGAUGGCGAAGGCAGCUUCCUGGCAUAAUAUUGACACUGAGAUUCGAAAGCGUGGGUAGCAAACAGGAUUAGAUACCCUGGUAGUCCACGCCGUAAACGAUGUCUACUAGCCGUUGGGGUCCUUGAGACUUUAGUGGCGCAGUUAACGCGAUAAGUGGACCGCCU
rnacentral:rRNA from 1 species